UAACGUGUGGGCAACCUGCCCUGUACUGGGGAAUAAUCAUUGGAAACGAUGACUAAUACCGCAUGUGGUCCUCGGAAGGCAUCUUCUGAGGAAGAAAGGAUUUAUUCGGUACAGGAUGGGCCCGUAUCUGAUUAGCUAGUUGGUGAGAUAACAGCCCACCAAGGCGACGAUCAGUAGCCGACCUGAGAGGGUGAUCGGCCACAUUGGGACUGAGACACGGCCCAA
rnacentral:rRNA from 1 species